AAGCCAAAUCCCUAAGUUACGAUACUCCUCUCAUCAUAGCUCCACUAAACCAAACGACAUCACUACUUCUCAUCACCGUUGCUAUCGAAUUCAACCAUUGUCAUUGUCAUCGUCGGUCUGUUAGCUGUGAAGAAGCAAGUCGUUGCCAGUUUCAUCUCCGUCAAAGGCCGGUUUCAUCUUGGUUCAAGGAUGCUGCUCGGGUUGACCGUUUUAUAGCCUGUUUGGGAGUGUGGUGAUGGCAGCCAAGCUACUAAAGUGUUUGGUAACACUUGUAGUUGGGCUUUGACAGCUUAGCAAUUUUUUUUUCCCAACUUCUACUCUAUAGUUAUAGCUUUUACUCCAUAGUUAUAGCUUUUACUCCACAGCAGCUGCAGUUUAAGAGUUACAGCACCUCACUCCCAAACACACCCUUAGUUUUCACCGCUCAUCUUUGCCAAUCAUUUUCACCGCUGAUUUCAAGCUUCUUAUCAUAGCUAAUUUAUUAUUACUUUAAUUUCAAUUUAUUUGCUUAUUACUAAUGCAAAAUUGGAUGGUAACCUACUAGGAAAAGUUUGCCAUUUGUUCAUUUUGGUCCAUACAUAUUUUAUAAAAUUACCUAUGAAUUUUGUAAUAUUCGCACAUAAGUCUCUCAUUAUUUA
rnacentral:lncRNA from 1 species